AUUUAGCAGAUUUGUUUGUGCAUCCUGGCUGAACCUUCUAGUGUAAGAGGAAAAAAGUGGAGCAGGGAUCAUAUAUGUGCCUCUGCAGGGACGCUGGGGGCAUAACCUAACAAAUGUGUGGGGUCAAUUGGUUUCCCAAGGGGACGCUACUGAGAAGCUGGCUCACCAAGUCCCGGCCCAGGUUGCUGCUGCUCAUCGCAGGGUUGAAGAGGCCUCAGGUGACCCUCAUGCGGAGGAAAAGGAUGAAGCGCACAAAAGUAGCAAAGGCCACGUAAGCGAACCUGCAGCCGAAUGCCCCACUUCACCUGAGUCCUCAGCGAAGACCAGCUGCUUCUUCGACAUGGAUGAUAAGGAAAAGAACGACCUUUGUAUCAGAUCUUUGGCCCAGCAACGAACUAAAACCCAGGAACCACAACGCGCAUUGAAACCAGAGGUGGACCCACAGAGACUCAGACCCCCAGACUGAAGCAGAGUGGACACGGACCAGCUCCAGCGACGCCUUGUGUCUUGUACAUCACCCUGCUCAGCGACACGUCUGUCCAGCAAAGCCAGCUGUCCUGUGUUCCUAAUCCAGGCUCUUUCAGGCUGAUGUGUUUGAGUCUCAGAAGAGUCCAAACCAGCUGCUUAUUAAACUCCAAAGUCUGACGGGAUGCCAACACCUGCCUCGCAUUCUUCUGUCAGAGACAACUUCCACAGUAGAAAGCUUGAAUGAAAACAAUGUGACUUGUUAAUAUGUCAAGAUUCAGACACUGCAACUAACAAGGUUUGUGGCACCGUUUGCAAUUAAAGUGAGAGAAAUAAGCUUAA